rnacentral:rRNA from 1 species
UGGGGAAUAUUGCACAAUGGGCGCAAGCCUGAUGCAGCCAUGCCGCGUGUGUGAAGAAGGCCUUCGGGUUGUAAAGCACUUUCAGCGAGGAGGAAGGUGGGUGAGCUUAAUACGCUCAUCAAUUGACGUUACUCGCAGAAGAAGCACCGGCUAACUCCGUGCCAGCAGCCGCGGUAAUACGGAGGGUGCAAGCGUUAAUCGGAAUUACUGGGCGUAAAGCGNACGCAGGCGGUUUGUUAAGUCAGAUGUGAAAUCCCCGGGCUCAACCUGGGAACUGCAUUUGAAACUGGCAAGCUAGAGUCUCGUAGAGGGGGGUAGAAUUCCAGGUGUAGCGGUGAAAUGCGUAGAGAUCUGGAGGAAUACCGGUGGCGAAGGCGGCCCCCUGGACGAAGACUGACGCUCAGGUGCGAAA